rnacentral:rRNA from 1 species
CUUGCUACCGAGGAAAGUGGCGGACGGGUGAGUAAUGUGUAGAGAAUCUGCCCUAGAGCGGGGGACAACAGCUGGAAACGGUUGCUAAUACCCCAUAUGAGCGUAUCUGAAAUGGUAUUCUUGAAAACUCCGGUGCUCUAGGAUGAGUCUGCAUCUGAUUAGCUAGUUGGGGGUGUAAUGGACCACCAAGGCGACGAUCAGUAGCUGGUUUGAGAGGAUGAUCAGCCACAAUGGGACUGAGACACGGCCCAUACUCC